rnacentral:rRNA from 1 species
UACGUAGGGGGCGAGCGUUGUCCGGAUUUAUUGGGCGUAAAGAGCGUGUAGGCGGCCAGGUAGGUCUGCUGUGAAAACUCGAGGCCUCAACCUCGAGACGUCGGCGGAAACCAUCUGGCUAGAGUCCGGAAGAGGAGAGUGGAAUCCUGGUGUAGCGGUGAAAUGCGCAGAUAUCAGGAAGAACACCCGUGGCGGAAGGCGG